GACGAACGCUGGCGGCGUGCCUAAUACAUGCAAGUAGAACGCUGAAGCUUGGUGCUUGCACCGAGCGGAUGAGUUGCGAACGGGUGAGUAACGCGUAGGUAACCUGCCUGGUAGCGGGGGAUAACUAUUGGAAACGAUAGCUAAUACCGCAUAAGAGUAGAUGUUGCAUGACAUUUGCUUAAAAGGUGCAAUUGCAUCACUACCAGAUGGACCUGCGUUGUAUUAGCUAGUUGGUGAGGUAACGGCUCACCAAGGCAACGAUACAUAGCCGACCUGAGAGGGGGAUAGGCCACACUGGGACGGAGACACGGCCCAGACUCCUACGGGAGGCAGCAGUAGGGAAUCUUCGGCAAUGGACGGAAGGCUGAACGAGGAACGCCGCGUGAGUGAAGAAGGGUGUCGGAUCGUAAAGCUCUGUUGUAAGAGAAGAACGAGUGUGAGAGUGGAAAGUUCACACUGUGACGGUAUCUUAAGAGAAAGGGACGGCUAACUACGUG
rnacentral:rRNA from 1 species